rnacentral:rRNA from 1 species
GAUUAACGCUGGCGGCGUGCAUAACACAUGCAAGUCGAACGAUGAAACUUAAAUGAUUUCUUCGGAAUGAACUUAAGUGGAUUAGUGGCGGACGGGUGGGUAACGCGUGAGUAACCUGCCUUACACAAGGGGAUAGCCGUUGGAAACGACGAAUAAUACCCUAUGAAACUAUCACUUCGCAUGAAGCGAUAGUCAAAGUGUUAGCGGUGUAAGAUGGACUUGCGUCUGAUUAGCUAGUUGGUGAGAAAAAAGCCCACCAAGGCAACGAUCAGUAGCCGGCUUGAGAGAGUGUACGGCCACAUUGGGACUGAGACACGGCCCAGACUCCUACGGGAGGCAGCAGUGGGGAAUUUUGCACAAUGGGGGAAACCCUGAUGCAGCGACGCCGCGUGAUUUAGAAGGCCUUCAGGUUGUAAAAAUCUUUUGUAUAGGAAGAAAAUGACAGUACUAUACGAAUAAGGUCCGGCUAAUUACGUG